GACGAACGCUGGCGGCGUGCCUAAUACAUGCAAGUCGAGCGAAGUUUUUCUGGUGCUUGCACUAGAAAAACUUAGCGGCGAACGGGUGAGUAACACGUAAAGAACCUGCCUCAUAGACUGGGACAACUAUUGGAAACGAUAGCUAAUACCGGAUAACAGCAUUAACUGCAUGGUUGAUGUUUAAAAGUUGGUUUUGCUAACACUAUGAGAUGGCUUUGCGGUGCAUUAGCUAGUUGGUGGGGGUAAAGGCCUACCAAGGCGACGAUGCAUAGCCGACCUGAGAGGGUGAUCGGCCACACUGGGACUGAGACACGGCCCAGACUCCUACGGGAGGCAGCAGUAGGGAAUCUUCCGCAAUGGGCGAAAGCCUGACGGAGCAACGCCGCGUGAGUGAAGAAGGAUUUCGGUUCGUAAAGCUCUGUUGUUAGGGAAGAAUGAUUGUGUAGUAACUAUACACAGUAGAGACGGUACCUAACCAGAAAGCCACGGC
rnacentral:rRNA from 1 species